rnacentral:rRNA from 1 species
UACAGAGGGUGCAAGCGUUGUUCGGAAUUACUGGGCGUAAAGCGCACGUAGGCGGAUUUGUAAGUCAGGGGUGAAAUCCCGGGGCUCAACCUCGGAACUGCCUUUGAUACUGGGGAUCUCGAGUCCGGGAGAGGUGAGUGGAACUGCGAGUGUAGAGGUGAAAUUCGUAGAUAUUCGCAAGAACACCAGUGGCGAAGGCGGCUCACUGGCCCGGAACUGACGCUGAGGUGCGAAAGCGUGGGGAGCAAACAGG